GACGAACGCUGGCGGCGUGCUUAACACAUGCAAGUCGAACGGAAAGGCCCUGCUUUUGUGGGGUGCUCGAGUGGCGAACGGGUGAGUAACACGUGAGUAACCUGCCCUUGACUUUGGGAUAACUUCAGGAAACUGGGGCUCAUACCGGAUAGGAGCUCCUGCUGCAUGGUGGGGGUUGGAAAGUUUCGGCGGUUGGGGAUGGACUCGCGGCUUAUCAGCUUGUUGGUGGGGUAGUGGCUUACCAAGGCUUUGACGGGUAGCCGGCCUGGGAGGGUGACCGGCCACAUUGGUACUGAGAGACGGCCCAGACGCCUACGGGAGGCAGCAGGGGGGAAUAUUGCACAAUGGGCGGAAGCCUGAUGCAGCAACGCCGCGUGCGGGAUGACGGCCUUCGGGUUGUAAACCGCUUUCGCCUGUGACGAAGCGUGAGUGACGGUAAUGGGUAAAGAAGCAACGGCUAACUACGUG
rnacentral:rRNA from 1 species